rnacentral:misc_RNA from 1 species
UCUCCGUUGGUGAACCAGCGGAGGGAUCAUUACCGAGUUUACAACUCCCAAACCCCAUGUGAACCUUACCAAACGUUGCUUCGGCGGAAUGCCCCGGGCGCGGGCCGCAAGGCCUCAGUGCCGGAACCAGGCGCCCGCCGGAGGCCCAAACCAAAGUCUUGUUUUUAUAGAUUCUUCGGAUUGGCCUUUUAGGCAAAAAAUGAAUCAAAACUUUCAACAACGGAUCUCUUGGUUCUG